rnacentral:rRNA from 1 species
UACAGAGGGGGCAAGCGUUGUUCGGAAUUACUGGGCGUAAAGGGCGCGUAGGCGGCCUUCUAAGUCGAACGUGAAAUCCCCGGGCUCAACCCGGGAACUGCGUCCGAUACUGGAAGGCUUGAAUCCGGGAGAGGGAUGUGGAAUUCCAGGUGUAGCGGUGAAAUGCGUAGAUAUCUGGAAGGAACACCAGUGGCGAAGGCGACUACCUGGCCUGUUUCUUGACGCUGAGGCGCGAAAGCUAGGGGAGCAACGGG